AAGAUGUUAGUAACAAAACAUUACACUGCUUUGUCAAAGCAGAAUUGCUGGUUAAAACCCUGCACACCUUA
rnacentral:tRNA from 1 species